rnacentral:rRNA from 1 species
CGAACGCUGGCGGCGUGCUUAACACAUGCAAGUCGAACGCGAACGAGUUCUUCGGAACUUUAGUAGAGUGGCGCACGGGUGAGUAACGCGUAAGUAAUCUACCCUCGCAUUUGGGAUAACCCACCGAAAGGUGUGCUAAUACCAGAUACGUCUAAGAUAAUAUCUUUUUUUUAGAGAAAGGUGGCCUCUGAUUCAAGCUACUGUGCGAGGAGGAGCUUGCGUACCAUUAGCUAGUUGGUAGGGUAAUGGCCUACCAAGGCAACGAUGGUUAGCGGGUCUGAGAGGAUGAUCCGCCACACUGGAACUGAAACACGGACCAGACUCCUACGGGAGGCAGCAGUGAGGAAUAUUGCGCAAUGGGGGCAACCCUGACGCAGCGACGCCGCGUGGAUGAUGAAGGCCUUCGGGUUGUAAAAUCCUGUCAGAUGGGAAGAAGUGUAUCAUGGUUAAUAUCUGUGGUAUUUGACGGUACCAUCAAAGGAAGCACCGGCUAACUCC